GUAGGUGGGCAAGCGUUGUCCGGAAUUAUUGGGCGUAAAGCGCGCGCAGGGCGGUCCUUUAAGUCUGAUGUGAAAGCCCACGGCUCAACCGUGGAGGGUCAUUGGAAACUGGGGGACUUGAGUACAGAAGAGGAAAGCGGAAUUCCACGUGUAGCGGUGAAAUGCGUAGAGAUGUGGAGGAACACCAGUGGCGAAGGCGGCUUUCUGGUCUGUAACUGACGCUGAGGCGCGAAAGCGUGGGGAGCAAACAGGAUUAGAUACCCUGGUAGUCCACGCCGUAAACGAUGAGUGCUAAGUGUUAGGGGGUUUCCGCCCCUUAGUGCUGCAGCUAACGCAUUAAGCACUCCGCCUGGGGAGUACGGCCGCAAGGCUG
rnacentral:rRNA from 1 species